GAUGAACGCUGGCGGCGUGCCUAAUACAUGCAAGUCGAGCGAACAGACGGGGAGCUUGCUCCUUUGACGUUAGCGGCGGACGGGUGAGUAACACGUAGGUAACCUACCUAUAAGACUGGGAUAACUUCGGGAAACCGGAGCUAAUACCGGAUAAUAUUUCGAACCGCAUGGUUCGAUAGUGAAAGAUGGCUUUGCUAUCACUUAUAGAUGGACCUGCGCCGUAUUGGCUAGUAGGUAAGGUAACGGCUUACCAAGGCAACGAUACGUAGCCGACCUGAGAGGGUGAUCGGCCACACUGGAACUGAGACACGGUCCAGACUCCUACGGGAGGCAGCAGUAGGGAAUCUUCCGCAAUGGGCGAAAGCCUGACGGAGCAACGCCGCGUGAGUGAUGAAGGUCUUCGGAGCGUAAAACUCUGUUAUUAGGGAAGAACAAACGUGUAAGUAACUGUGCACGUCUUGACGGUACCUAAUCAGAAAGCCACGGCUAACUACGUG
rnacentral:rRNA from 1 species